rnacentral:rRNA from 1 species
UACGUAGGUGGCAAGCGUUGUCCGGAAUUAUUGGGCGUAAAGCGCGCGCAGGCGGUCCUUUAAGUCUGAUGUGAAAGCCCACGGCUCAACCGUGGAGGGUCAUUGGAAACUGGGGGACUUGAGUGCAGGAGAGAAGAGUGGAAUUCCACGUGUAGCGGUGAAAUGCGUAGAGAUGUGGAGGAACACCCGUGGCGAAGGCGGGUUCUCUGGGACGGUACUGACGCUGAGACGCGAAAGCGUGGGGAGCGAACAGG